CCCUCAGAUGUUCUGGGCUGCACGCGUGCUACACUGAAGUGUCAUAGCGAGUUACCUAUCUUUAACGGGAAGGGUAAUCUUGAAUGCACUUCGUGAUGGGGAUAGAUCAUUGCAAUUAUUGAUCUUCAACGAGGAAUUCCUAGUAAGCGCAAGUCAUCAGCUUGCGCUGAUUACGUCACUGCUUUUUGUACACACCGCCCGUCGCUCCUACCGAUUGAGUGUUCCGGCGAACAAUUUGGACGAGCUCGGUUUACCUUGCUUGGAAGUCUUGUAAGCCAUAACACUUAGAGGAAGGAGAANUCGUAACA
rnacentral:rRNA from 1 species